AGUGGGAUAGUUGGGUCAAAUGGUAGUUCCAUUCCCCGAGGAAUCUCCAUACUGCUUUCCAUAGUGGUUGCACCAAUUUACAGUCCCACCAGCAAU
rnacentral:pre_miRNA from 1 species